UACGGAGGGUGCAAGCGUUAUCAGGAUUCACUGGGUUUAAAGGGAGCGUAGGUGGGCAGGUAAGACCGUGGUGAAAUCCUAUAGCUUAACUAUAGAACUGCCAUGGAUACUAUUUGUCUUGAAUGUCGUAGAGGUAAGCGGAAUAUGUCAUGUAGCGGUGAAAUGCUUAGAUAUGACAUAGAACACCAAUUGCGAAGGCAGCUUACUAUGCGAUGAUUGACACUGAGGCACGAAAGCGUGGGUAGCAAACAGG
rnacentral:rRNA from 1 species